UUUCCCUGUAUGUCGGUGUCAUGUGGCUGCCGUGGAAGCAGCGGCAGGAGAGGGGAGUUGCCGCGAAAAGGAAGUGAUGCCGCCUCAGUGUCCUGUUACCUCAGACCGCCCUCGUCUCACAGGCUCCUCCCCAAAAAGCUUUGGGACUUCAACUUCGGCUCGUUUUAUGGCUUUGGGACUUUUCUGUGGUUUUCGGGACUCCAACUUCGGCUCGUGGCUUCAGGUCUUUUUUGGCAGCUUUUGGGUCUAAUUGGCGGCGGAUUUCAGCGGCUUCUUCGCGACUUAAAGGGGCCCGGCAAAUCCAGGAAGUGUUGUCCCCUUCAAGCUUCAAAAAACGCGGGGCCCGGUACAGCUAUUCCCGCUGUGCCCCCCUGAUGGUGGCCCUGCCUGGCAAAAUUGCUGUUGCAGAAGAAGACACAUUCAAAUCAUAGAGCCAUGUUAAUGUGUGUACAGAAGACCACAUGAAUCUUUAGAUAUAACACCAUAUAGAAGGAACCGUCUUGGAACAAUUCUUAUAAAAGAUCUCAAGCAGCUUCUGUGAUGGAAUGGGUGCUACUUCUGGAUCUGCAAAAAAUCUUUAAAAAUAACUCAUCUUAUUUGGUCUGUUGGUAGUACCCUGGAUAGAAAAAGUCAGCCUGGGAGAAAGGAUUGAAACCCAGCUUGCAGCUUUUACUUAGUUCCAACACAAAUCCACCUGAGACUGAUCCUAUUCAUACCUCACCAAACGGUUUUACAUACUUCCUGAGUUUGAUCCAGUCAUUAGGGACUUGUCUGUGGGUGGUUUUUGUGGGUUUGCUGUGGCUGUUUAGGUCUGAACUGAAACUUCCCUUUGGACUGGCCCUCUGCAGAGGGAGGUGAUGCCUUGGAGGAACAAAAUCCAGACCCUUAAAUAAAAGCCUCCUUGUGCCCAGAAUGAUCUUGUCAUGGACUAAGGGAGCAGAGAGGUUCUCCUCAGUUAGGAAAUCUUUUCAAGCUCUCUGAACAAGCAAUUGCCAUUAAACUCCAUAUACUCAGUGACACAGUCGUACCAAAAGCCAUCCCCUAGUAAUAAAUUUGCAUUAAAUAUUCUAGGUGCUCAAGGGGAGUUAUCCUGGAUACCAUCCUGGAGAGCCUGAACCCACAAAGUUAAUGCUCUGCUUGCCUAUGCACUGACAAUUUGAUCCUUAAAUGCAGCUGCAUUAGUCUCUGGGAGAGCUGUUUUUUUGGACAGUUGGGACACCAGGGCAUCAUCCUCUGAAGGAACACCUUUUUUCCAGGAAAUCCUUUGCAAACAGGAAUGUGAAGACGUGGAAAGAAUGCUUCUUUUUCUCUGAACUAUCUCAUUCAUCCUGAAUAAUAUCCCAAGGUUGAUUAUAAUAAAAUAAAUUAAGCAUUAUGUUUACACCAGUGCUUAAACAGGUCAUUGACCCUGACCUGAGGGUUCCUAAGGUCUAAGGAUAUCCUCUACAUCAUGAGGUACUUUUCUGUCUCUGUAACUUCCUUAGAGUCUGUACAUCUUAUUAUUGUUAUUUUCACCUUCCUCACUGGAUAACAUGCAGGAUAAAAUUGAACUAGAGGGGCUAAAAACAACUGUUUACAUGUGGUCCAAAGUACUUAAAAUUUCUUUUUUUCCUCAUAAAUUAUGCAGUUUGCAAUAACUUGCAAUCUAUUGGUAUGUAAAUGUGAGUUACCAUUUUUUAACAAAAUCAUCUGUAUAAUACAAGUAGAAUUGGGGAAAUGUAUUUGUUGCAGCAGUAUAUUUUUAGAGUAUAUGUCAAAUAUAGAAGGCAUUGAUUCACUUUUAAUUGUAAUAGGGAUUUGGAUGAACAAAGUGUUGCUUGAGGCAGAUCUGUAUAUGGAAGUAAAAUAAACAUUUAUUCAAAGAAAAUCACUUGAUUACAGUUUACAGAGAAUACUGAGAAUAUAUUUGGAUGCUCCAUUUCUGAAAGAAGAUGCCUGGUGAAUUAUGUAGAUUCAAAAAUCUAUUAUUAUUUAGAAAACAAGAUGUGAAAUAUGACCCUUCAAAGGCAAUCAACGAAGAAUUGUAGUAACCAAAAUUAAAAUCAUUAACAUGAGGACUCUUUAUAAGUGGCCCAUAUUAUUUUUAAAAUGACAUUUUGAAAAUAUACCUUAAUUACAUAAAGAAGCAUGGAACAUUUAUUUAUUGACAUACAAACAGAAACAAACACAAAAAAAAUACUGGCAUCAUUUACUUAAUCUGAACUCAAAAGUAGUGGAUCUUUUUAUAUUUCCAUAUCUUACCGUAUAUACUCGAGUAUA